AUUGAACGCUGGCGGCAGGCCUAACACAUGCAAGUCGAACGAGUGGCGGACGGGUGAGUAAUGUCUGGGAAACUGCCUGAUGGAGGGGGAUAACUACUGGAAACGGUAGCUAAUACCUCAUACCAUCGGAAGUGCCCAGAUGGGAUUAGCUAGUAGGUGGGUUAAAGGCUACCCUAGGCGACGAUCCCUAGCUGGUCUGAGAGGAUGACAAGCCACACUGGAACGGGGACACGGUCCAGGCUCCUAAGGGAGGCAGCAGUGGGGAAUAUUGCAAAAUGGGCGCAAGCCUGAUGCAGCCACGCCGGGUUUAUGAAGAAGGCCUUCGGGUUGUAAAGUACUUUCAGCGGGGAGGCGUUACCCGCAGAAGAAGCACCGGCUAACUCCGUGCCAGCAGCCGCGGUAAUUC
rnacentral:rRNA from 1 species